UACGGAGGGUGCAAGCGUUGUCCGGAUUUAUUGGGUUUAAAGGGUGCGUAGGCGGCCCUGUAAGUCAGUGGUGAAAUACUGCAGCUUAACUGUAGCAUUGCCAUUGAUACUGUAGGGCUUGAGUACAGAUGAGGUAGGCGGAAUUGAUGGUGUAGCGGUGAAAUGCAUAGAUACCAUCAAGAACACCGAUUUGCGAAGGCAGCUUACUAAGCUGUAACUGACGCUGAGGCACGAAAGCGUGGGGAUCGAACAGG
rnacentral:rRNA from 1 species